rnacentral:rRNA from 1 species
CCUCUCCGCCGAAAGCCUAAGGGUUCCUGGGGAAGGCUCGUCCUCCCAGGGUUAGUCGGGACCUAAGCCGAGGCUGAAAAGCGUAGGCGAUGGACAACAGGUGGAAAUUCCUGUACUACCUCCACUCCGUUUGAGCAACGGGGGGACGCAGGAGGGUAGGGUGAGCAGACUGUUGGAUAUGUCUGUCCAAGCAGUGAGGCGUGUGUAUAGGCAAAUCCGUACACUGUAACGCCAGGCUGUGAUGGCGAGCGAAAUUGUAGUAGCGAAGUCCCUGAUCUCACACUGCCAAGAAAAGCCUCUAGCGAGGAGUGAGGUACCCGUACCGCAAACCGACACAGGUAGGCGAGGAGAGAAUCCUAAGGCGCGCGAGAAAACUCUUGCUAAGGAACUCGGCAAAAUGACCCCGUAACUUCGGGAGAAGGGGUGCCCCGGUAGCGUGUCAAAGCGCGAGGGGGCCGCAGUGAAAAGGCCCAAGCGACUGUUUAGCAAAAACACAGGUCUCUGCGAAGCCGCAAGGCGAAGUAUAGGGGCUGACGCCUGCCCGGUGCUGGAAGGUUAAGGGGAAAGGUUAGCACCUUCGGUGCGAAGCUUUGAACCGAAGCCCCAGUAAACGGCGGCCGUAACUAUAACGGUCCUAAGGUAGCGAAAUUCCUUGUCGGGUAAGUUCCGACCCGCACGAAAGGCGUAACGACUUGGGCACUGUCUCGGCAAGAGACUCGGUGAAAUCAUACUACCUGUGAAGAUGCAGGUUACCCGCGACAAGACGGAAAGACCCCAUGGAGCUUUACUGCAGCCUGAUAUUGAAUGCUGGUAUUGUUUGUACAGGAUAGGUGGGAGCCGUUGAAGCCGGACCGUCAGGUUCGGUGGAGGCGUCCUUGGGAUACCACCCUGACAAUGCUGGCCUUCUCACUUGCAUCCCUCACCGGGAUGAAGGACCGUGUCAGGCGGGCAGUUUGACUGGGGCGGUCGCCUCCUAAAAGGUAACGGAGGCGCCCAAAGGUUCCCUCAGAAUGGUUGGAAAUCAUUCGCAGAGUGUAAAGGCACAAGGGAGCUUGACUGCGAGACCUACAAGUCGAGCAGGGACGAAAGUCGGGCUUAGUGAUCCGGUGGUUCCGCAUGGAAGGGCCAUCGCUCAACGGAUAAAAGCUACCCUGGGGAUAACAGGCUUAUCUCCCCCAAGAGUCCACAUCGACGGGGAGGUUUGGCACCUCGAUGUCGGCUCAUCGCAUCCUGGAGCUGAAGUAGGUUCCAAGGGUUGGGCUGUUCGCCCAUUAAAGCGGUACGCGAGCUGGGUUCAGAACGUCGUGAGACAGUUCGGUCCCUAUCUGUCGUGGGCGCAGGAAAUUUGAGAGGAGCUGUCCUUAGUACGAGAGGACCGGGAUGGACGCACCGCUGGUGCACCAGUUGUUCCGCCAGGAGCACAGCUGGGUAGCUAUGUGCGGUCGGGAUAAGCGCUGAAAGCAUCUAAGCGUGAAGCCCCCCUCAAGAUGAGAUUUCCCACAGCAUAAGCUGGUAAGACCCCUUAAAGAUGAUGAGGUAGAUAGGUUCGGGGUGGAAGCGUGGCAACACGCGGAGCUGACGAAUACUAAUCGGUCGAGGGCUUAACCAAA